rnacentral:rRNA from 1 species
AGUGAACGCUGGCGGUAGGCCUAACACAUGCAAGUCGAACGGCAGCACAGUAAGAGCUUGCUCUUACGGGUGGCGAGUGGCGGACGGGUGAGGAAUACAUCGGAAUCUACUUUUUCGUGGGGGAUAAUGUAGGGAAACUUACGCUAAUACCGCAUACGACCUACGGGUGAAAGCAGGGGAUCUUCGGACCUUGCGCGAUUGAAUGAGCCGAUGUCGGAUUAGCUAGUUGGCGGGGUAAAGGCCCACCAAGGCGACGAUCCGUAGCUGGUCUGAGAGGAUGAUCAGCCACACUGGAACUGAGACACGGUCCAGACUCCUACGGGAGGCAGCAGUGGGGAAUAUUGGACAAUGGGCGCAAGCCUGAUCCAGCCAUACCGCGUGGGUGAAGAAGGCCUUCGGGUUGUAAAGCCCUUUUGUUGGGAAAGAAAAGCAGCAGGUUAAUACCCCGCUGUUCUGACGGUACCCAAGGAAUAAGCACCGGCUAACUUCGUG